AUAUACGGCCAUACCACCCUGAACGCGCCCGAUCUCGUCUGAUCUCAGAAGCUAAGCAGGGUCGGGCCUGGUUAGUACUUGGAUGGGAGAAUGCUAAUGUAUUUAGGAUUUCUUUUUC
rnacentral:rRNA from 1 species